rnacentral:lncRNA from 2 species
AGCACGAGCGUCCACGGAGCAGACACGGGAUGCAGUGCCGUCGCGGUCGACUCUGUUGUAGUGGCGGAGUAUUUGGUUCCUAGCGUCGCAUUUAGGCGUCACGCCGGCUAUGGCUGUGCUACUGUUGUCAAUUUGCUGGAGGAACGAGACGAGCUGCCUCGGCAAGCGUCCGAGACAGAGCCCGAGGAGGAGGCUCCCCGGCGCGUUUGCGGGUUCGGCGGCGACGAUGACGGCGAAGGAUGGCUUGUCGUUGGCCAAGCGGCUACGUUGGUGGUGAAGGGCUCCCUCUUCUGCCAUGUUGCGGCCACUGCGGACCUACUAGCCCCCGUCCUGGAGCAGUGCUCAGAUCUCCGCGCGGUGCUCCCCGACCUCUGCCACAACCUCCCUCAACACGCCUCUACUCGGCUUCCGCGAUGCGGCGAUGGGGGCAUCGGUGGUGUGGGGGCAAAGGGGCGUCCCAACAUUGGUGGCGUGUGGCCGCCGUGGUGUAGGAGAGGUGGGGGUCAGGUUAGGGGGCGCUGUGCCUAACUAGUAGGAG